AUUUAUAUAGUUUAUGUAAAACAUUACAUUUUCAUUGUAAAGAAAAAAUUAUUUUUUAUAAAUA
rnacentral:tRNA from 1 species